rfam:Salmo salar isolate Sally breed double haploid chromosome ssa01, whole genome shotgun sequence.
UGCAUUCACUACUGUAAUUCGCUCUGGAUAAGAGUGUCUGCUAAAUGACUAAAA